UGGGGAAUAUUGGACAAUGGGCGCAAGCCUGAUCCAGCCAUGCCGCGUGUGUGAAGAAGGCCUUUUGGUUGUAAAGCACUUUAAGCGAGGAGGAGGCUACUUGGAUUAAUACUCUAAGAUAGUGGACGUUACUCGCAGAAUAAGCACCGGCUAACUCUGUGCCAGCAGCCGCGGUAAUACAGAGGGUGCGAGCGUUAAUCGGAUUUACUGGGCGUAAAGCGUGCGUAGGCGGCUUCUUAAGUCGGAUGUGAAAUCCCUGAGCUUAACUUAGGAAUUGCAUUCGAUACUGGGAAGCUAGAGUAUGGGAGAGGAUGGUAGAAUUCCAGGUGUAGCGGAGAAAUGCGUAGAGAUCUGGAGGAAUACCGAUGGCGAAGGCAGCCAUCUGGCCUAAUACUGACGCUGAGGUACGAAAGCAUGGGGAGCAAACAGG
rnacentral:rRNA from 2 species